rnacentral:rRNA from 1 species
AAUGAACGCUGGCGGCAGGCUUAACACAUGCAAGUCGAGCGAGCGGCGGACGGGUGAGUAUUGUCCGGGAAACUGCCUGAUGGCGGGGGAUAACUACUGGAAACGGUAGCUAAUACCGCAUACCAUCAGAUGCGCCCAGAUGGGUUGAGGUAGUAGGUGGGGUAAGGGCUCACCUUGGCAACGAUCCUUAGCUGGUCUGAGAGGGUGACCGGCAACACUGGAACUGGGACACGGCCAAGACUCCUACGGGGGGCAGCAGUGGGGAAUAUUGGACAAUGGGCGAAAGCCUGAUGCGGACAUGCCGCGUGUGUGAAGAAGGCCUUCGGGUUGUAAAGCACUUUCAGCGGGGAGGCGGUACCCGAAGAGAAAGCACCGGCUAACUACGUGCCAGCAGCCGCGGUAAUAC